CUGAGCUCUGUCUUCCAGUGCUGAAAAACUCUCCCUCCCCGUGUCCUCUCACCCUCCCCGCUCUCCGAGAGCAGAGCUGUUCACCUUUAACAUUCCAGACGUUAAGUCCCGCUGGUGGCUGCCAGAACUCCUGCAGUCCAGCCCCUCCGCUUUUGCAAGCCAGACUUGGGGCUCUGCCUUGCUGCGCGGGCUGUCCUUCCACCGCCCGGCUCCCUCCCGCCAGUCCGUGUAGCGUGCACCGCGUCUCUGCCCUUCCUACCCUCUUCUGUGGGCCUCUUGUCUAUGCUUGGCUCUGGAGAGUCCGUUGUGCUAGUUUUCUGGCGGCUUUCUGGGUUAUUUAGGCAGGUGUGGCUGGAUCUAAGUGAUCAGCAGGACGAGGUGGCAGCAUCUGUGGAAGUAAGAGCAGGUUUGGCUGACUAAGAUUUUGUCACUGCUGUUACCAACAUCACCAUCAUCAUCACCAUCAGUAGCUAUAGCAUCAACAAACUUAACCUCUAUAUUAUCAAAAAGAACCACGAGCCUGGUGUAGGGAGGAGGCAAACUCUGAACAAGGAGUGGUCAGCAUCACUGUUUCCUCCUCUCUCUUCCUUCACCAUCCUGAUUACCAGGCACAGACCACUGGCAGCCUUCAGAAAUUGCAGAAGGGAGUAGACUCUUAGAGCCCCAGAAGAUGGUCAAGCAGAGCAAGUAGAGUGGGGACCAUAGAGGAGCUGAGAGAUAGAACAGCCUAGAAACUGUGGAGUCCCAAAGCAUAUACUGAACUGGGUCCUUUGGCAGAGACAUUUUUCCUAGAAGCAAGAUAAGGGACCAGGACACCUCUGAUUUCUUAGCAUAAAAAUAAUCUGAGAAAAAAGCUCCUGAUUCUAGGCUCUAGGAAUCUCCUGAGCGCUCUAUGGAACUCUGACCUGAGGAAACAGUGUGACUUUCUAGAAUUCAACGUACAAUGCUGAUUUGAAGAAUUCUGACAUCUCCACAGCACUUUCGAAUGUCAGAAGGCAUUCUAUCUACAAGAUAGGGACAAAGUGUGAAUCAAGGAAUUUAUAGAUUCAGAACAGCCAUCCUUCAACUAGAAAGACAACAUAACUCUGCUAUGUUGCAAGACUGCAGUGAUUUUGGCUUGAUGAGCUCUUCCUGAGGAAGUAACUAGAUGACCUCUAGCCUGUUAAGUGAUGUCAGAGGAAGCUCCAGAAAAUAUACUGAGGAAGAGUUGUCAGAUCAAAGACACAAUAAAAAAUGGGGGUAAUAAAAUUUCAUAAAAUAAUGUGCCUGACUUAGGACCAAUAUGUCACCAUUUUGUAAGAAUACAUGCAAGCAAAUUCGCCUGGAAAAAAAUUUUUUAAUUUAUAUUGGCUCAAAAAGAAAAAUUCAGCUCUUUGCUCUAUUCAAGAAAUGCAUCUAAAACCAAGUAAUUCAGAAAGUGGAAAAUAAAGGGCCAGAAGAAUGUACAUGAGGUAAAUGUAAACAGUAAGAAAGUAACAGUUGUCAUCUUGAUGGGAUUUUGGAGUGGUGGUAAGGGUCCUAAGCUGACAGCCAAGAAAAAAAAAUUCUUGAGACAUUUUUGGUGCAAAAAGGUGAUUUUUUUAAAGCAUGGGGACAGGACCCAUGGGCAGGAAGAGCUGUGCUGGGAUUGUGAAGAAAGACUGGUUAUAUACUUUGGAGUUAUAGACAAAAGAGAGGUCUCCAGAGGGACUUUGAUGUGCUAACGACAACUCCUAAAAUACCUGAGGCCUGCUAUUGUCAAGCUAAGGUGGUUUUCUUCUAGUAAGGUAUUAACAUUAGGACUGUGGGGGGGGGCGGUUCCUAGAGAAAUGUUAUACUCUGUAUUUGCAAGUAUUUGUCAGUGGGCCGCAGGUUAUAAGGAAAUUUAACUAUACCUACUGAUGAGGGAGAAUAAGGCAAGCUGAGGAUAAAAUACAAGCUAGCACCCCCUCCCCCAUGUGGGAUGUGUGUGAUAUUCCUCAGGCACUCCUGGCUGCCCAAGGACAAAGGAAAGGAAAGGAAACAAUUGGUUAACUGAUAGAGAUCACAGCCAUACAGGACAUGGGUCUCCAUCAGUUUACAAAUAUCUUAGUAAAUGAUAAGAAAAAGGCAAUCUUAUCAGAAGCUUAAUCUCCAGAAAUCUACAGACUCAGUUUCCUGGAGCCCCUAAUAUCACCCUCCCCUCCAUAGUGAUGUGGGGAACAAAGACAAGAAGGAAAUGGCAGGUAAAAGUAAAUUUCUUUAUAACCUGCAGCCCAUUGACAGAUACUUGAAGCAACAUUUCUCCAGGAACCCCCUACUGUCAUACUGUUAAUACGUUAUUAGAGGGAAAUCAACCUUAGGUUGACCAUAGCAAGGCCUCAGGUAUCUUAGGAGUCCUCUUUAGCACAUCAAAGUCCCUCUGGAGGCCUCCCUUCUGGCUUUACCUCUCCCAACUCUAGUAUAUAACCAGUCUUUCUUCACAACCCUAGUGCAGCUCUUUCUGCCCACGGGUCCUGUUGCUGUACUUUAAUGAAAUCACCUUUUUGCACAAAUAAACGUCUCAAGAAUUUUUUCCUUGGCUGUCAGCUAUGGACCAAUGAAAGGGCGGGCCUACGCCAGCCGACUCCAUCUUGUUCUGUGUCCUUCACCUUGACCACACCUCCUCCCCUUGACUCCAUCUUGUUCUGUGUCCUUCACCUUGGCCACACCUCC